rnacentral:other from 1 species
UUGUCCCUGCAGUGUUCGUGAUGUCGAGUAGAUUCUGAACCAACAUUAGAAUCUAGGGGAUCGAUCUUCAGAGGCGGAAGCAGGCCUACCGGGUCCGGAAUGGAACGGAAGGAAGCAGGAAACCGCUGAGUAGGUUCCCACCGUGUCUAAAGACCGGUUCAUGAAUAUGUCGGCACACGGCACAGGCGGGGACUUU